GACGAGGGCGCGAGCGUUUGUCCGGAUUUAUUGGGCGUAAAGAGCUCGUAGGCGGCUUGUCGCGUCGUCUGUGAAAUCCCGCGGCUCAACUGCGGGCUGCAGUCGAUACGGGCAGGCUGGAGUUCGGUAGGGGAGACUGGAAUUCCUGGUGUAGCGGUGAAAAUGCGCAGAUAUCAGGAGGAACACCGGUGGCGAAGGCGGGGUCUCUGGGGCCGAUACUGACGUGAGGAGCGAAAAGCGUGGGGGAGCAAACAGG
rnacentral:rRNA from 1 species